GACGAACGCUGGCGGCGUGCUUAACACAUGCAAGUCGAACGGAAAGGCCCUGCUUUUGUGGGGUGCUCGAGUGGCGAACGGGUGAGUAACACGUGAGUAACCUGCCCUUGACUUUGGGAUAACUUCAGGAAACUGGGGCUAAUACCGGAUAGGAGCUCCUGCUGCAUGGUGGGGGUUGGAAAGUUUCGGCGGUUGGGGAUGGACUCGCGGCUUAUCAGCUUGUUGGUGGGGUAGUGGCUUACCAAGGCUUUGACGGGUAGCCGGCCUGAGAGGGUGACCGGCCACAUUGGGACUGAGAUACGGCCCAGACUCCUACGGGAGGCAACAGUGGGAAUAUUGCACAAUGGGCGGAAGCCUGAUGCAGCAACGCCGCGUGCGGGAUGACGACCUUCGGGUUGUAAACCGCUUUCGCCUGUGACGAAGCGUGAGUGACGGUAAUGGGUAAAGAAGCACCGGCUAACUACGUG
rnacentral:rRNA from 1 species